rnacentral:lncRNA from 1 species
GGCGCACUCCCUAGGGGUUCCAAUGAUCUGCCUGUGAGAGAUGAAAAUGGAAGAUCAUGGAAAUUCAACUGCAAGAGUGAAGGAGGCAAUUACUUCUCCCUCAGUGGUGCUGAGUGGAGGAGUUUUGCCAAGUCUAAGGUUAACAAUGCUAGGGUCACUCUUUAUCGGGAAGAAGGUGAGCACGUCUACACCAUUAGGGUUGGAAAGUUUUGAUGAAACCCUUUCAGUUUGUUGAUCUAUAUUUUCUAUGUAGUUAUGUUGGUUAUGGUGUGCUGC